rnacentral:lncRNA from 1 species
CCAAAAUAUGCUUGCAGGGGAGAUAUGUUGUGCCUGUUGGUUGCAUAUCCAGCAUCACUGAACCAUCCACCAGUGGAGAAACAGAAGAUUGAUGGGCAGACUAGAUGUGUGGUUACAGUAGACAGGAAGAACGCCCGCAAGUUUAUCUCAGUGGACCAUUUGAAGAACCUUGAUAUUUUAUCUGGUAAGAAUAAAAUACUAGUAAAAGUAAUAAAUAAAAGUAAUGGUUUUACA